GAUGAACGCUGGCGGCGUGCCUAAUACAUGCAAGUCGAGCGAAUGGAUUAAGAGCUUGCUCUUAUGAAGUUAGCGGCGGACGGGUGAGUAACACGUGGGUAACCUGCCCAUAAGACUGGGAUAACUCCGGGAAACCGGGGCUAAUACCGGAUAACAUUUUGAACCGCAUGGUUCGAAAUUGAAAGGCGGCUUCGGCUGUCACUUAUGGAUGGACCCGCGUCGCAUUAGCUAGUUGGUGAGGUAACGGCUCACCAAGGCAACGAUGCGUAGCCGACCUGAGAGGGUGAUCGGCCACACUGGGACUGAGACACGGCCCAGACUCCUACGGGAGGAAGCAGUAGGGGAUCUUCCGCAAUGGACGAAAGUCUGACGGAGCAACGCCACGUGAGUGAUGAAGGCUUUCGGGUCGUAAAACUCUGUUGUUAGGGAAGAACAAGUGCUAGUUGAAUAAGCUGGCACCUUGACGGUACCUAACCAGAAAGCCACGGCUAACUACGUGCCAGCCGCCGCCGUAA
rnacentral:rRNA from 1 species